rnacentral:rRNA from 1 species
GGCGCACGGGUGCGGAACGCGUAUGGAACCUGCCCCUGUCAGGGGAAUAGCCCAGGGAAACUUGGAUUAAUGCCCCAUGGUACCAAAGUAUCGCAUGAUAUUUUGGUUAAAGAUUUAUCGGACAGGGAUGGCCAUGCGUACCAUUAGUUAGUUGGCGGGGUAACGGCCCACCAAGGCAGCGAUGGUUAGGGGCCCUGAGAGGGGGAUCCCCCACACUGGUACUGAGACACGGACCAGACUCCUACGGGAGGCAGCAGUGAGGAAUAUUGGACAAUGGUGGGAACACUGAUCCAGCCAUGCCGCGUGCAGGAUGACGGCCCUAUGGGUUGUAAACUGCUUUUACACGGGAAGAAACCUCCCCUUGCGAGGGGAGCUGACGGUACCGUGAGAAUAAGGACCGGCUAACUCCGUGCCAGCAGCCGCGGUAAUACGGAGGGUCCGAGCGUUAUCCGGAAUCAUUGGGUUUAAAGGGUCCGUAGGCGGGCCUGUAAGUCAGGGGUGAAAGUCUGUGGCUCAACCAUAGAAUUGCCUUUGAUACUGCAGGUCUUGAGUCAUGGUGGGGUUGCCGGAACAUGUGGUGUAGCGGUGAAAUGCAUAGAUAUCACAUAGAACACCGAUCGCGAAGGCAGGUGACCAACCAUGUACUGACGCUGAUGGACGAAAGCGUGGGUAGCGAACGGGAUUAGAUACCCCGGUAGUCCACGCCGUAAACGAUGGAUACUAGCUGUGGGGCAUUCGUGCUCCGUGGCCAAGCGAAAGUGAUAAGUAUCCCACCUGGGGAGUACGUUCGCAAGAAUGAAACUCAAAGGAAUUGACGGGGGCCCGCACAAGCGGUGGAGCAUGUGGUUUAAUUCGAUGAUACGCGAGGAACCUUACCAGGGCUUAAAUGCAGGCUGCAUGGGGUGGA